AAAAAAUAAGAAAGACACAAAAGAGAAAAAGAAACUACCAGAGAAGAAAGAAACUGAGGAGAAAAAGAAACAACCAGAAAAAGAGACCAGUGGAAAGGAGUCAGAACCUAGCAUUACUAUACUUAAUAUACAGGUUGGCGUUAUUCGCAAGGCUUGGAAACAUCCAUCGGCAGAUAGUUUACUAGUUGAGCAGAUUGAUGUUGGAGAAGGUAAUUUGCGACAAAUAGUAAGCGGUCUAGCGAAGUAUUAUAGCCCGGAUGAGCUAACUAAUCGUCGAGUGGUGCUAAUUACAAAUGUGAAGCCUGGAAAGCUGCGAGAUGUGAUGUCUUCA
rnacentral:misc_RNA from 1 species